UACGUAGGGCGCGAGCGUUGUCCGGAAUUAUUGGGCGUAAAGAGCUUGUAGGCGGUUUGUCGCGUCUGCUGUGAAAGCCCGGGGCUUAACCCCGGGUUUGCAGUGGGUACGGGCAGACUAGAGUGCAGUAGGGGAGACUGGAAUUCCUGGUGUAGCGGUGAAAUGCGCAGAUAUCAGGAGGAACACCAAUGGCGAAGGCAGGUCUCUGGGCUGUAACUGACGCUGAGAAGCGAAGGCAUGGGGAGCGAAC
rnacentral:rRNA from 1 species